GAUGAACGCUAGCGGCAGGCUUAACACAUGCAAGUCGAGGGGCAGCACUGGUAGCAAUACCUGGUGGCGACCGGCGGACGGGUGCGUAACGCGUAUACAACUUGCCUUAUACAGAGGAAUAAUCCGAAGAAAUUUGGUCUAAUACCUCGUAAUACAUUUGAUGGCAUCAUUGAAUGUUGAAAGGAGCAAUCUGGUAUAAGAUGGGUAUGCGUGACAUUAGCUAGAUGGUAAGGUAACGGCUUACCAUGGCGACGAUGUCUAGGGGAACUGAGAGGUCUAUCCCCCACACUGGUACUGAGACACGGACCAGACUCCUACGGGAGGCAGCAGUGAGGAAUAUUGGUCAAUGGACGAAAGUCUGAACCAGCCAUGCCGCGUGCAGGAUGACGGCUCUAUGAGUUGUAAACUGCUUUUGUAAAGGAGUAAAUGUAUGUACGUGUACAUAUUUGAAAGUACUUUACGAAUAAGGAUCGGCUGACUCCGUGCCAGCAGCCGCGGUAAUAC
rnacentral:rRNA from 1 species